UACAGAGGGUGCAAGCGUUGUCCGGAAUCACUGGGCGUAAAGGGCGCGUAGGUGGCGCGGCAAGUCAACGGUGAAAGCUCGACGCUCAACGUCGAGUCGGCCGUCGAUACUGCUGGGCUUGAGCACUGUAGAGGCAGAUGGAAUUCCGGGUGUAGCGGUGGAAUGCGUAGAGAUCCGGAAGAACACCGGUGGCGAAGGCGGUCUGCUGGGCAGUAGCUGACACUGAGGCGCGACAGCGUGGGGAGCAAACAGG
rnacentral:rRNA from 1 species